GAUGAACGCUGGCGGCGUGCCUAAUACAUGCAAGUCGAGCGAACAGACGAGGAGCUUGCUCCUCUGACGUUAGCGGCGGACGGGUGAGUAACACGUGGAUAACCUACCUAUAAGACUGGGAUAACUUCGGGAAACCGGAGCUAAUACCGGAUAACAUGUUGAACCGCAUGGUUCAACAGUGAAAGACGGUCUUGCUGUCACUUAUAGAUGGAUCCGCGCCGCAUUAGCUAGUUGGUAAGGUAACGGCUUACCAAGGCAACGAUGCGUAGCCGACCUGAGAGGGUGAUCGGCCACACUGGAACUGAGACACGGUCCAGACUCCUACGGGAGGCAGCAGUAGGGAAUCUUCCGCAAUGGGCGAAAGCCUGACGGAGCAAUGCCGCGUGAGUGAUGAAGGUCUUCGGAUCGUAAAACUCUGUUAUUAGGGAAGAACAAAUGUGUAAGUAACUAUGCACGUCUUGACGGUACCUAAUCAGAAAGCCACGGCUAACUACGUG
rnacentral:rRNA from 1 species